UGUGUUAGUGGAAGCGUCUGGAAAGGCGCGCGAUACAGGGUGACAGCCCCGUACACAAAAAUGCACAUGCUGUGAGCUCGAUGAGUAGGGCGGGACACGUGGUAUCCUGUCUGAAUAUGGGGGGACCAUCCUCCAAGGCUAAAUACUCCUGACUGACCGAUAGUGAACCAGUACCGUGAGGGAAAGGCGAAAAGAACCCCGGCGAGGGGAGUGAAAAAGAACCUGAAACCGUGUACGUACAAGCAGUGGGAGCCUCUUUAUGGGGUGACUGCGUACCUUUUGUAUAAUGGGUCAGCGACUUAUAUUCUGUAGCAAGGUUAACCGAAUAGGGGAGCCGAAGGGAAACCGAGUCUUAACUGGGCGUUAAGUUGCAGGGUAUAGACCCGAAACCCGGUGAUCUAGCCAUGGGCAGGUUGAAGGUUGGGUAACACUAACUGGAGGACCGAACCGACUAAUGUUGAAAAAUUAGCGGAUGACUUGUGGCUGGGGGUGAAAGGCCAAUCAAACCGGGAGAUAGCUGGUUCUCCCCGAAAGCUAUUUAGGUAGCGCCUCGUGAAUUCAUCUCCGGGGGUAGAGCACUGUUUCGGCAAGGGGGUCAUCCCGACUUACCAACCCGAUGCAAACUGCGAAUACCGGAGAAUGUUAUCACGGGAGACACACGGCGGGUGCUAACGUCCGUCGUGAAGAGGGAAACAACCCAGACCGCCAGCUAAGGUCCCAAAGUCAUGGUUAAGUGGGAAACGAUGUGGGAAGGCCCAGACAGCCAGGAUGUUGGCUUAGAAGCAGCCAUCAUUUAAAGAAAGCGUAAUAGCUCACUGGUCGAGUCGGCCUGCGCGGAAGAUGUAACGGGGCUAAACCAUGCACCGAAGCUGCGGCAGCGACGCUUAUGCGUUGUUGGGUAGGGGAGCGUUCUGUAAGCCUGCGAAGGUGUACUGUGAGGUAUGCUGGAGGUAUCAGAAGUGCGAAUGCUGACAUAAGUAACGAUAAAGCGGGUGAAAAGCCCGCUCGCCGGAAGACCAAGGGUUCCUGUCCAACGUUAAUCGGGGCAGGGUGAGUCGACCCCUAAGGCGAGGCCGAAAGGCGUAGUCGAUGGGAAACAGGUUAAUAUUCCUGUACUUGGUGUUACUGCGAAGGGGGGACGGAGAAGGCUAUGUUGGCCGGGCGACGGUUGUCCCGGUUUAAGCGUGUAGGCUGGUUUUCCAGGCAAAUCCGGAAAAUCAAGGCUGAGGCGUGAUGACGAGGCACUACGGUGCUGAAGCAACAAAUGCCCUGCUUCCAGGAAAAGCCUCUAAGCAUCAGGUAACAUCAAAUCGUACCCCAAACCGACACAGGUGGUCAGGUAGAGAAUACCAAGGCGCUUGAGAGAACUCGGGUGAAGGAACUAGGCAAAAUGGUGCCGUAACU
rnacentral:rRNA from 1 species